AACAAAUUUCUCGAACUGUCAAAAUACAAAUCAACAAAUUAAUUUUAUUCGCAACAAAAACGAUAUCAUUUACUUCUUAAUUCUCUCUUCUAAUAUCACAUUGAAACUAGCAAAGGUGUCUUAAUUGUAUCUCAUAGUCAUAGCUUUUGGCCAUAGUG